ACAAAUAACAACUAUUCAUGGACAAGGCAGCACGGAGAGAAUCCUGGAACAUGAGUGAGGCUGAAGCAAUCCCUGCACCACAAAGAACUUAACAGACUGCAUCAGAAGGGUAAAGGAAAUGGCUUCAAGCUGACUGCAUUGGUCCUCCUAGACACCAGUGGAGAACCAUGUUAAGUGGCCUCCCUUGAGUCUAUGGUUCCUGGGAAAAGAGAAUCCAAGGCACCAAUUACAGUCAUGAGCCUCUGGGAGUACCAUAUCCAAGGAUCUUCCCAUUGAGUUCCCAGGAACUCAAUGGCCCUAAUGCUGAACCCAUAACUUUCCACCCUCUGUGGCCGAUGCUUUGUGUGACCCACCCACUGCAAUUGGAACAAGUCUGAUAUACUGAGUGCUUUCAGAAAAAACAAACCAGACCUGUGGGUUAUAGAGAAAGCACUAACUUCAGCUAUAGCACCCCCUUCUAGAAAACCAAGAAGGUUGAGAAAAUUCCAGACAUAUGGUAUCAAUAAAAAAAAAUACUCAAUCUGAGAGCAUCUAGUAAA